rnacentral:rRNA from 1 species
CAGUAGCCGCGGGAAAACGGAGGGUGCAAGCGUUAAUCGGAAUUACUGGGCGUAAAGCGCACGCAGGCGGUUUGUUAAGUCAGAUGUGAAAUCCCCGGGCUCAACCUGGGAACUGCAUCUGAUACUGGCAAGCUUGAGUCUCGUAGAGGGGGGUAGAAUUCCAGGUGUAGCGGUGAAAUGCGUAGAGAUCUGGAGGAAUACCGGUGGCGAAGGCGGCCCCCUGGACGAAGACUGACGCUCAGGUGCGAAAGCGUGGGGAGCAAACAGGAUUAGAUACCCCGGUAGUCCCUGUCUCUUAUAU